CAAAGAAAUACCUAAAAUGUUUAAUCAAUACAGGUUUCAUGGGUAGUUUGUUAAAAACAUCGUACGAGGGUUGGUCGCUUACGUGCUUGGCCGCGUGGCCUAAUGGAUAAGGCGUCUGACUUCGGAUCAGAAGAUUGCAGGUUCGAGUCCUGCCGCGGUCGCAGUUUUUGUUCUUUGUUUUCAUUGAUAGCAUGUGAUUCUCUUCUCGGUAUUUCACCGACCACGUCUGCUUUGACAUAACAAAGGUAGUGUACCUCAACCUUUAAACACACUGAGCCAAGCUUACUGAUGUGGCCGUGACGGAGGAUGUUUUAUUUCACUGCAACACCUGGGUCAUUCCAACCCUGUGAUGCAGCUACAGUUUCCAUAAAUGGUGCUGAGGAUGUUGAGGUGGACUUUGCCGCUAACGAGCAGUAGAGGGCGUGGUGGAGUAUCGCAGCCAUAAGAUGCACUGAAGCAGAUAUCAUCUACUUUCUGUUGCACGUAAUGUUUCGUUUGAAACAAUUGAAUUAAUAUUAAAUAUGCGAAGAUUGUUUCCGAAUUUGUGUAAUUAGCUACAUCUAAAUCACGUGGGCAAAUCUCACUUUAUUUGGAAAACUUAUUUGCAAUAAAACUGGGCCUUGCAGGAUAUGCAAGGCCCAAUAUAAUAAUUGUUUUCUGAGCAUCUAUAAUUGGAAUAAAACUGAAUUUGAAUGAUCUGAGUUACAUGAAAACUAAUUGUAUAAUCAUUAGGAGGGUUAUACCAUCAACACUGACUUACAUUACUGAAACCACAUUGUUUCAACAUUUACUUUUGCUUUUUGGGAGAUCUGUUAUUGACACAGAACUUGUCAAAUAUAGAUGAAGAAAAUAUUGAAAUACAUGUAAAGGGAAUUGUUUAACAUGUCUUGUAGAACAGCAAACGUUCUGGGUUGUGGACUAAAGGGGACUGGAAUCAAGAACAGUAGAAAACCGUGUUUAAAGACUUUAAGGAAAACACUGAACAAGCAAGAACGUGCCUGCAAAUCUUGACCAAAAACCACAUGUGGGAUUAAAAACUGUCUUCUGUUUGUGACUCAUUGAACUUAAAAGAAAAUCUUUAAUGGGACUCAGACACAAGAGUGUGGGCGCAGAUGUUUGAACUGGAAAGUUUUGCACAUGAGGAACAAUUAAAAAAAAAAAAAAGGCUGUGUCUCUGAACGCAAAACUACCAGAAACAUUUACUGGUGCUCAUGAAGGUCAAACGAUAUUAAUAUUAGUUGAGAGUAACUGUUAAUCUCUGUUAUAAAAAUAUGAUUUUAUGUUUAUGUACAGAAGAAGUCUCCUCAUCUCUCUCUGCACUGAAACGUGUAGACCUGCUAUAAAGCAUACUUUUCCCUGUCUUCUCCCACUCACCGCUUCACUGAGGUUUUAUGCUUCUCAUUCGUCAUAUCUAAUCCUGUGCUUUGGAUUUCAGCUACACCCUGGCCUUUUUUCACCCCUUCUUCCGAGAGGUUGACUGUUUUCUUUGUGACUGGAUCAAAAGGAACUUUGCAUCUUGAUCUAUCCUGAUUAUUGCUCUGCUCUCUUUCGACUCUUGGACUUUAGAAUGUGUCUGGCCAGCUGUUGAUGAAGAUGGACGCAGCAUCUGAGUGCUUGAAAAAAAAGUAUGGGGCUAUUACUGAAGAGCUGCUGAGUGGCAUGUUACUCAUGUGCAUUGCAUUUGCAGCGAACAGGCGUGCUGUCUCUUAAAUGCAUCCGUCUGCCCGUGCGCCUCAGCCACUGCUGGUAGCUAGUAAUUCCUCCCAAGUGGAAAAUCUCUACCAUUACCUGCACUGCGAGGCAGGAGGGCAGGAUGGCCAGCCUCCAGACAGCCGCUCCUUCGUGGGACAGCGCCUCCUCCAGCGCCCAGACAUCAUUUUUUGGAAUAAAAUGAAGGUUGCCUCCUGCACCGCUCAGCUGCACCUCUGUGCCUCUGUGUGCAAGAAAGAGUGCAGAGCUGCCUCAUCUCCUCAAUUUACUCAAACGGGCCUCGUGCAUGCGUUGGUUUCACGCUGUGGACAAUUCACAUGUUGCCUAUGGAUUGUGUUGCGGGCUGUACACACAAAUGAUGGUGUUUUUUUAAAAAAAAAAGUUGCAGCCUGCAGUGCUUCAUGAGAAUAAAUGUUGUCUUCCAUGAAAACCAAAUAAAUAAAUAAACAUAUAAGUAUAUUGUGCUUUGUUUUAUAGCUAUCUAAUUAGUUACUUUAACAACUUAUUUGAGCAUGAGUCAUUUGGUUUGAAAUAGUAUCAUAUUUGACUGGAAAUAGUAUUAUAAUUGACUGGU